AUGGAGGAUAGCAGGGGAUGGGGAAAUUAUGAAAAUCUGUUUAUCUUAUACAUCAGCAAUUCCCAGAUGAAUAGUGCUGUAACAAUAGCAGGAUUGAUGAAUAUUGCUCUCCCUUUCAUGACCAGCUCUUGGCGGGAUCCCUCAGACUUGACAUUCAACAAAAAGACUUGCCACGGGUCAGCAGUUGCAUGCUGGACUAAAGGAAGCAACACAAUCAAUAAUCUCCACAAGUGCAGGUCAUUGAGGGCACUGAGCGUAUCCUCCAGACGUGGCAUGACUUUCAAAGGACUGGCAUGCCUGCCACCUGAAGGUCGCAGGUUCACUUUUCCUGGAACAAAGCAAAUGAAAAGGAGAAGAUCAGAGACUGUCGAUCAUGGCGUGAAGUCCUUGUUUAUGUCUCAACAAAACUGACAGCAGAGCAUCACUCCAAACUUGAACCUAGGUCAGCCCAACUAUAAAUAGCCGUCUGUGUGAUAACACAGCCUGAAUGUCUGGCCAGAUUUGAUAUUAACUGGUUUAAUGUCUGAUCCCUAUAGAGACAGGUAAAUCUCUGUGGGUCAAUGGCAAAAUAUUUUUCAUCCCAAAUGACAAAACAAAAUACAAGCGUUUUAUCUUAUGACAGAAAUCAUUCUAACAUGCUAACAUUGGGUGUUUUUUAAUUAUCAAUGUGUAUUUUAAAAAAUGCAUGACAUUAUAAAAUUAAACUUUACAUGUAACACACUGAAUACACAUGAUAUGCAAGAUUCAACAGCCCCUCAAAAAAAAAAAAAAAAAAAAAACUAGUUGUAGGUACUUCAUUAACUGUUCAGUGUGUGAAACUCAUCAUGUUCUCUCCUGCUCUUCUGCUGCUCUGGGUUUCUGUUUUUCUCAUCAUGAGAACUGGCCUGCUCUUGUGUAAAGAGGAAACAAUUGAUACAAUGAGGGAGUAAACGUGGCGAGUUCAACCACAGGCCUUGAUAAUGUCACGAGGAUCUUUAAUACAUGUAAUAAAUUCUAUGUUUAACCUCAGUUAAAACUGAUGCAGUUAAACAUGUCCAUCCAUACAAACACAUACAUAUAUAUUAGGCUCCAAUAUCCCCAAAAACCCACAUAUAUCCAUCCAUUUUUCAAGCCGCUUGUCCUCGUGGGGAUACUGCAGUAUAUAUUUGAAAAAUUGCUAUCUCAUUCUAAGAUGACAUGCUUUAUCAUUGCUAUUUGGCCUGCUGUAACAUGUCUCUCUGGUUUCUAAAAUAACAUGUUGCUAUUAUUGAUAUUGCAUAAAUGCUAAUACCUGAAACCUGUAUAUAAAGUAUUAAAAAGGUAUUCAGAAUAUGCAAUGCAAACCACAGGCAAUAUAAAUGCAUUGCUUUGCAUGUUACUUCAUGCAAUACCGCAUAAAUCCAUACUGCAUUUGAAGUGAUUUUUUAUUGCAAAAAUAAAUUAAUGCAUUACAAUAUACUCAUUUCCAAGUGAAAAUAAAUUUGCUUUAAGAACUUUGCAAUAACAGUGGCCGUGUAGCAUAAGUCAUGCCUGUGCCGAUAUAAAUCUUGUAACCAAAUGAACUACGUAAAUGGGAAUUCCACCCAGUUUCAAUGUUUUUAAUAGUGAGUUCUUUAUCCUACAGCUGUUCAUGGGACGUAGGCAAAUAUGCUCUGCUCUGCCAAAGUCAGGAAUCAAGAGAUCCAUCCAUAACACCUUUUGGCUGUAAUGUUAAAGCCUCCCAGCUUGAGAGAAAUGGCUAGUUAGUAGUGUUGGUCCAAGGCCAAACAUAUCUCUGGACAAGACAGCUGUAUCAGGCUGAAACUUGGAUUUUCAGAGUCAGUAAAUGUGUAUUUUUUACCCUGAAAAUGAAGAGUUAAUUGUAUCUGUAAGGUGGUGACGUGCUGCCACAUAUUCUUAACUGUAGUUCAACGAUACACUUUAAAAAAUAAAGGUUCCCAGGUGAGUCUUUGCAGUCUGGAGUUACUAUACAGUUCUUUGGAGGUUAGAAAAGUUAUAGGUUUUUCAGCUCAACAUAAUGGUUUCUGGAGUCUUAAAAGCACCAGUAGUGCCUUCGCUGAUGUUUUUCUUACAAACUAGAGAAUACCCUAAAAUAAUUUUUGGGGGAAAAAAAAGGCGUAAAUCCCUUUUGAUUGUCACUGGAAAUAUAUUUUUGAAGGAAAGAAACAAAAUUUACUCACCCUCAGGCCAAGAUGUAGAUAUGUAUGUUUCUUCAUCAUUACCAAUUUGGAGAAAUUUAGCAUUACAACUCUUGCUCACCUAUGGAUCCUUUGCAGCGAAUGGGUGCAGUCAGAAUGAAAAACCAAACAGCUAAUAAAAAAUGUCACAAUAAUUUAUCUGAACUUUUCUAACUUUAACCUUAGUUUAUCUUUGAUGGUGAACUAUUCCUUUAAUAGUGAUGGUUGACAUUUUUUGAUUAGGGUUAGGGUUAGGGGGUUGCCAAUAUUGUCAAUGGGAAUGUCAUUUUGUGUGAGUUUUCCCUCAUGCUCUGUGUGACUGACAUUUUUGCCUUUUAUUGGACAACUGAGUCUAUAAAUCCAAAUCCAUAUUAUGGCUUUUUUUCUGUUUAGAUAUAAUCAUUUGCCACAGUAUUGAAGGGAUUACCUAUUUUCACCUUUGAACAACAUUGUGUUCUCAUCAAAAACUCACCUAAAGGCAGAAGGUCUUUUUGUCUGAGACUGGAUUAUGUCGAGAGUGACAUCAACAGUUAAGGGAUUAAAUGCGGCUUCAGUUUGCCCUUUGCUUCUUGGCAUCCCAGUGUCCUCCUGCAGAAUAACACUGAAGGCUUGUAUUAAAUUUAAAUGGUUUGGUCUGGAAGUCAGUAUUAUGUCAUACGAAGUGCUUUUUGCGCUCUUCUAUUUCUGUAAAACCAAAACAACAUAAAAAUUAAUACAGAACAGUUGUACUGGAUUGUAAGUGGUUUCAGUGUCAUUCAUGGGUCAUUAUUAAUCAUAUGCUAUUAUUUAACCAGAGGUAUCCAAUAUUUUUGUAAGAGAACAAGAGGAAGACAGUUAGAGAGCAAGAGAGUUGGUAAUGUUGCAUAAUAGAGGUGUAAGGCUUAAAAAACCUUUCCGUCCAAACAGUCAGUCUGAUGUUGACUUUGACCCCUCCUAGACAGACACUAGCUAUUAAAAGUCAAUAUCAGUAGUGCUGACACUGAAACAUUUGAAAUACAAAGCAACACCACAGCUGCUGAAAAACUAAGUGUACCAUGGGACUGAAUGUUCUCUUUACGUGCAUUUGCAAUCUAAUUACAUUCAAUUUUUAAUCAUUCUGAAAUACUGCACCUAACGACAAUGUUUCAUUAAAUUACAUCAGUAUUACAUCAAGAAUGGUAUUACAAGAGCUCUAGUCUAGAUCAGUGGUUGUCAACCUUUGUGACUUCAAGGCCCCUGGUUAUCAAAGUCAACACUCAAAAGCCCCCAUUAAAAGAAACUAGAACUGUAAAUACAUUAAAAUUGAAUAGAAGUGAAUAUCAAAACAUGAAAUAAAUGCUUUAAAGCACUAUUCCUUAUUAAAACAAAAUACAUGUUUUAUUGAUGCUGUAAACUUAUUUAACUUAUGUAGUAUUUUAAUACUAUUUUACUUUUAAAAAAAAACUUUAAAGUGGUUUUAUAACCACUGGUCUAAACAUAGGCCCCUCCAAAAUCACCCUAUGAUGUUGUUCCCAUGAGCUGAACUUCCAGAAAACUUUGAGUACUUUUCAAGAGCAACAAUUAAAUAUUCCAUGUUCAUGACCCCUGAUUGGCAAAGUGAGACUGUGUCUGUAUAUAGCGUCUUUGUUCAUCAAUUAAAGGCAAUAAACAAGCCACUGUCAUAAGAAAAUCUGUGUCAGGACAACAUUUGACACAAAUCGUGAGAGAAUGGAGGAAAU
rnacentral:lncRNA from 1 species